rnacentral:rRNA from 1 species
CUAGUGGCGGACGGGUGAGUAACACGUGAGCAACCUGCCUUUCAGAGGGGAAUAACGUUUGGAAACGAACGCUAAUACCGCAUAACGUAGUUUUACGGCAUCGUAGGACUACCAAAGAUUUAUCGCUGAAAGAUGGGCUCGCGCCUGAUUAGCUAGUUGGUGAGGUAAUGGCUCACCAAGGCGACGAUCAGUAGCCGGACUGAGAGGUUGAUCGGCCACAUUGGGACUGAGACACGGCCCAG